rnacentral:rRNA from 1 species
AUUGAACGCUGGCGGCAGGCCUAACACAUGCAAGUCGAACGGUAACAGGAAGAAGCUUGCUUCUUUGCUGCCGAGUGGCGGACGGGUGAGAAAUGUCUGGGAAACUGCCUGAUGGAGGGGGAUAACUACUGGAAACGGUACCUAAUACCGCAUAACGUCGCAAGACCAAAGAGGGGGACCUUCGGGCCCCUUGCCAUCGGAUGUGCCCAGAUGGGAUUAGCUAGUAGGUGGGGUACCGGCUCACCUAGGCGACGAUCCCUAGCUGGUCUGAGAGGAUGACCGGCCACACUGGAACUGAGACACGGUCCAGACUCCUACGGGAGGCAGCAGUGGGGAAUAUUGCACAAUGGGCGCAAGCCUGAUGCAGCCAUGCCGCGUGUAUGAAGAAGGCCUUCGGGUUGUAAAGUACUUUCAGCGGGGAGGAAGGGAGUAAAGUUAAUACCUUGGCUCAUUGACGUUACCCGCAGAAGAAGCACCGGCUAACUCCGUG